rnacentral:rRNA from 1 species
CAUGGGUACUAUAUUGAAUGCUGCUUAUUGAGAUAUGAUAUUCCUAUUCAAGUUGUCAAUUUUGCCAAGGAGUGCCUCUUUGAUGCUUAAGCACCAAAUCCUGUCGUAAAUGAUGGUUGUGGGGGGGAACUGCAGGGGAUUCAAGUUCCCUGUAUAUGGUGACCAUUUCUUUUGCAUCUGACUUGGCAUGGCUGAUUCUAGUGUGGAAGGAGUUGGACUUAGCUGUGAUUAUGGCUGAAUUAUAUCAUUUGGAAGCUUUGGUGAAGUCCUGUUUUGCAGAGAUAGUAGGUUCUUUUAGCCAGGUUAGCUGGGCUUGUCGUUUCAAGGUGCGUAGUUCUUAGAGGUCAGGGGUAAACCAUGAAUUAGAAUGUCUGACCAUCUUCAAUUUAUGUGGUUUAGGGGGGCUAAUGUGUUCACUGCCUGAGAGAGGAUUGAAGUGUAGGUAUCCACUAGUGAAAUAGGGUUAGAGGCGAAGGGAGCCUGAAGGUGGGGAGUGUUGAUCAGGGGUAGGAUAUUGUCUCUGGUGAGCUUCCGUGAGCUCCUUGUGGCAGCAGGAGGAAGUGGAUAGGGUAGUGCUAUUGACUUGUUUGGCUGUGUCAUAGCAGAGUGGAUACUAUGGUGGUCAGACCAUGAACAGGGUGUGUUGGCGCUGGUGGAGAUUAGACAGUUGUGAUCUGCGAUCCAGUCCAGUGUGCAGCCUUUGUUGGGUGUGGGAUUUCUGAUGCAUUGAGUGAAGCCAAGUGUGUUGAGUACGUCCGAUAAAGAUUUGGAGGGUAGGUCAUUAGGGUCAUGGAGGCCCAAGUUGAGGUCUCCUAGCAAGAUUAUUUUUGAGGAAGCUUUGAGGUUAUCCUGGAGAAUAUGAAGUAUGUUUUGCUCAAAGUUUAGAGAUGGGCCAGGAGGGUGGUAGAUGAGGUGAAGGGUGAUGGUAUAAGUAGGGGAUGGUGAGAAUUCGAGUGAGAGAAGGUCAUUAUUCCCAUCAAUGGAUGUUUCCCUUGGAUAGCUGGACUCAGAUACCCCAGUUUUAUCUGGUGAGGCACAAUUAGAGCUCUUGGGAUAAAACAAUCUCAACCUAUUCUCAGACAUCAUAUGGGUGAGGACCCUGGCUCACUGGCAUGAAGCUGGGCAUCAAAUGCCAGUGCCCAGUGUGACACUUUUGGUACGCAGAACUGGUGCUGCAGGAUGAACUGAAUGCCAGAUUAAGGUUUUGGUUAAAAAUAGACAGCAGAACGAUGGCCAUGGAAGUCAGAAUCUGUUAGGGAGUGUGUAACAACUCACCUGCCAAAUCAACUAGCCCUAGCCUUAGGCCUUGCGAUGAGUGGGAGGGCUGCUAUGGUGUGCAUGGUAGCCUGGUGGAAAGUGCCUGGGUGGAGCUUGGUGGUAGUAGCAAAUAUUCAAACAAAAGCUUUGAAGGCCGUAGUGGACGAGGUUACCAUGUGAACAGCUGUUGAACACAAGUCAGUCGUUUCUAAUAGGUGGGAGAGCACCAUUCAGAAGGAACAGGCAAUAGCCUCUGUUGCCGUCAGCCAAUCAAAAGGGAAUCUUGUUCAGAUCUGGAAACCCAUAGUGGCAUAGACAUGCAUGCUUGCGAUAUCCAUUGCGGUAACACAAAAGGACCCUGAGAAUCCUGCAUGUGCUCUGGAGAGAGUUCUAUUUUCUUUGUGAUGGGCAGGGCACCUUGGAAUGGAUUUUCCCUGAGAGAGGAGCAUGAUCCUUGGAUACCAUUCAUUUCGGGCGACGUAAAGUGAGCUCUUGCUAGUUCUUGUUAAUCUAGGAGAGAUGGUGUAAUUCUCGCAGAGGCCUGUACACAUAUCCACAGCAGGGCUUCACAGUGAACCUCCUCUGGCAUGUUGGAACAAAGUAGAUACGGGAAGUCAGCAAGUCAGAUCCGUAACUUCAGGGUGAGAGUCAGGUUGGUGCACAUAGCGGUGCUGGUCACACACCAGGGCUGGACGAGGCAUCUCCACCCCUGGGAGCACCGCCGACUCUGGACGCAAGCCCGGCCCUUCCUCUGGAUCUCCCCAGCUCGGGUGGUGGUCCCUCUCCGUUACUCUUCCACAGUUCAGGCCGGCAUUCUGCCUCACCGACACAUAGCAGCUGAUUUAAGAACUGGUGUGGACCAGGGAGAUCCGAUGGUUUAAUUGAAACAAGGCAUCACAAAUGCAUUCUGCGCGUAUUGACACAAUGUGAUUUCUGCCCAGUGCUCUGAAUGUCAAAGUGAAGAAAUUCAUUAAAGCGCGUGUAAACGUCAGGUGUAACUAUGACUCCCUUAAGGCAGCCAAAUGCUACAUCAUCUCAUUGGUGGCACGCAUGAAUGGAUGAACAAGAUUCGCACUAUCCCUACCUACUAUCUAGUGAACCACAGCCAAGGGAAUGAGCUUGACCGAAUUAGCGUGGAUAGGAGACCCUGUUGAGCUUGACUCCUAGUCUGGCACUGUGAGGAGACAUGAGAGUUGUAGGAUAGGUGGGAGGUCCUUGGUCCAGCAGUGAAAUAUCACUACUGUUAUCAUUUUUACACUUGCCCAUUGUGGCCGGGGCAGGGGGGAAGCCCCAUGGGGCUGUCACUUCUGGCUCCAAGCACUCAGCUCCAGCCAGGCGAGACCUGCUGCAGGGACAUUGGCAGGUGGGGAGCAUGACUGGGGCAGUACAGCUGUCCUACGAUAACGCAGGUGUCCCAAGGCAAGCACAGGGAGGACAGAAACAUCCAGCGGAGACGAAGGGCAAAUGCUUGCUGGAUCUCUAUUUUAUGUAUGAAGACAGACCGUGUAAGCGGAACCUCAUGAUCCUUCUGAGCUUUUGUGUUUCCAGCUGAAGGUGUCAGAAACCUACCACAGGAAUAACUGUCUUGUGGUGGCAAAGCAUUCAUAGCGACUUCACUUUUUGAUCCUUCGAUAUCGGCUCUUCCUGUCAUUGUGAAGCAUGUUUCAGCAAACGUUCGAUUGUUCACACACUAAUGGGGAAUGUAAACUGGGUUUGGACCGUAAUGUGAAAGGUUAGUUUGACCAUUCUGAUGAUGUGUUGUGGCAAUAGUAAUCCUGGUCAGUAUGAGAGGAACCGCAUGUUCAGACAUUUAGUGUAUGUGCUUGGAGGAGGAGCAAAUGGGGGGAAGCUGUCAUCUGUAGGAAGAAUCCCCCCUAAAUUGUAAAAGUAACACAGCGUUGUGGAGCCUCAGUUGGCCUAGGAUAGCCAGCUCUGGGCCAGUGCAUAGAGUUGAUUACCUCAGGAUUCGAGUGUGGACAGAAAGGGGUCUACCUCACUCAUUUGUAGUGCACCACAUGUUC